GUCCACGCUGUAAACGAUGGAUACUUGUUGUUGAAGGUAUUGACCCCUUCAGUGACGGAGCUAACGCGUUAAGUAUCCCGCCUGGGGAGUACGGUCGCAAGAUUAAAACUCAAAGAAAUUGACGGGGGCCCGCACAAGCGGUGGAGCAUGUGGUUAAAUUCGAUGCAACGCGAAAACCUUACCUGGGUUUGGCAUCCUCUCGAUGCUACAGAGAUGUAGAGGACCCGAAAGGGAGAGAGAGACAGGUGCUGCAUGGCUGUCGU
rnacentral:rRNA from 1 species